rfam:Ixodes scapularis strain Wikel colony gcontig_1108379367082, whole genome shotgun sequence.
GUUUGGUAGUGCUCAGUUGGUAGAGCGCUCCACUGGAAAUAGAGAGGUCGCUGGUUCGAUACCAGGAGCAGGCG